CUAUUUGCGUCUUCUUUCAGACCUUUUGCGUAUCGGGGGGGCCUUCACUUCAUCACCACCAACCAACCAACCAACCAACCAACCAACUCCUCCAGGUUCCCAGGCAGUGGAGGUAUCUAAGGACACUCUUGAUUUAGCAUUGCUUGCUUGGUUUGACUCAUAUCAACCCGUACCACAUCAAGCACUACACGAAGAGAGGCUUGCAGAGUGAAGAUUUCAUCCCGGUACUAUCGUGUGAAAAUUGGUGAUCGUUCACUUUUUUCGUCUAAACCGAUGAGAUAUGCUUCGUAGAGAUAACACCAUAUGUGAUUGGCUUUCGCAACAACGCCUCACCGCACACGGCCGUAACCACCCUAUCAACGGUUGGAUAAGAGCGUGUGAGAUAAAUAUGGAAAAUUCGUAGCACCGCGCCCCCUGGGGAAAACGUAAGACCCGCUACCCAUAGGUCGGGGUUAUCCCACCGGGGACAGACCGACGAAGGUCAGGAAUGCUUGUCCUGCAGGAAGUGGCACAAAAUUUCCUGGAACUGUUACGCUCGCCAUGAUCCUGCACACUCUUUACAACGAUUGACGACUCAGACACUGCGUCUCUUGGAGCGGUCUCGUCAGACGCGGAAGGAUAGAUGAAACGAUUUUUGCAUAUGUAAUGUAAUGCCUCUAUUGACACAGGAAGCGCCGGCUUUUCCCGGAUCGGGCCUUUUUUUUCUUUCUUUCCUUCUCGCAUCACUCGCCCACCACCUCCUCUACCUGCGAUCGACCGACAGCAGGAAGCACCACCGAGGACCGAGCGCGCUGGGUCAUUCCGGUGCGGAUUUCCACAUAAUUACCAUGCGCCAGGACCAAUGCAAAGGAGCACCGAAAGCAAACGGGCCCGAACAACUGAAACUUUCCCGCCACGGUUGCGCCGCCGUGAGAUCUGAUGCGUUCUGCUACGGGCAAAAGAUUGAGCCUGGAAUGCUGAUUGUUUGUGUAGUUUUUAUUGAUUUAUUGUUUAUUGACAUUUCACACCUUUUUCUCUUCUUUCGGGCUCUGUACCGUUUGCCCAUAUCUCUGGCGAGGUUCGGUCUUUCCGAUGGGAAUUUUAUAGAAAUAUUCCUCAGACAGGCAGGACACGGAGCAAUUGAAUAAUAAUUUCUUUAGUAUAAGAAGGAACGUUUGUUGAUUGUUGUUAAAAAGGAUGUUAUUUUAAAAUUUAUUUUUAACACGCAUUUGUGAUUUAAAUGUACUGGAAAUAAAGAUUAAAUGAACAUUUGAAAGAAAUAA